rnacentral:ncRNA from 2 species
AUGGGAAAUGAGGUGUGACUCCUCAACAGACCCUUUCUACUGUAAUGCGGACGAAAUUCUUAAUAAACCACUGUCGAAAGAUUUGGAAGGUGAGAAAAGUAGGAAGAGGCUAAGUCAGGAUAUCC